UACGUAGGGUGCGAGCGUUAAUCGGAAUUACUGGGCGUAAAGGGUGCGCAGGCGGCGUCGCAAGUCAGGCGUGAAAUCCCCGAGCUUAACUUGGGAAUUGCGCUCGAAACUACGUGGCUCGAGUGUGGCAGAGGAAGGUGGAAUUCCACGUGUAGCGGUGAAAUGCGUAGAGAUGUGGAGGAACACCGAUGGCGAAGGCAGCCUUCUGGGCCAACACUGACGCUCAUGCACGAAAGCGUGGGGAGCAAACAGG
rnacentral:rRNA from 1 species